UAGGGAAUCUUCCACAAUGGACGAAAGUCUGAUGGAACAACGCCGCGUGAGUGAAGAAGGGUUUCGGCUCGUAAAACUCUGUUGUUAAAGAAGAACAUAUCUGAGAGUAACUGUUCAGGUAUUGACGGUAUUUAACCAGAAAGCCACGGCUAACUACGUGCCAC
rnacentral:rRNA from 1 species